rfam:Gasterosteus aculeatus cont1.015687, whole genome shotgun sequence.
UCCUCGUUAGUAUAGUGGACUGCAUUGCUGCUUGUCACGCAGAAGACCAGGGUUCGAUUCCUUGACGGGGAG